rnacentral:rRNA from 1 species
UAUUGCACAAUGGGGGGAACCCUGAUGCAGCGACGCCGCGUGAGGGAAGAAGGUUUUUGGAUUGUAAACCUCUGUCCUUGGUAAAGAAGCAAGACGGUAGCCAAGGAGGAAGCCACGGCUAACUACGUGCCAGCAGCCGCGGUAAUACGUAGGUGGCAAGCGUUGUCCGGAAUUACUGGGUGUAAAGGGAGCGUGGGCGGUUAUGCAAGUUGAAUGUGAAAUCUAUCGGCUCAACUGAUAGGCUGCGUUCAAAACUGUAUAUCUUGAGUGAAGUAGAGGCAGGCGGAAUUCCUAGUGUAGCGGUGAAAUGCGUAGAUAUCAGGAGGAACACCGGCGGCGAAGGCGGCCCCCUGGACGAAGACUGACGCUCAGGUGCGAAAGCGUGGGGAGCAAA